AGCCACUGCUAUCGGAGUCCGACUAAGCCAUGCGAGUCGAGGGGACCUUUUCUGAGGUCACCGGCGAACGGCUCAGUAACACGUGGCUAACCUACCCUCGGGUGGGGGAUACCCUCGGGAAACUGAGGCUAAUUCCCCAUAGGUCUAGGUUGCUGGAAUGCUCCUAGGCCGAAAGCUCCGGCGCCCGAGGAUGGGGCUGCGACCUAUCAGGUUGUAGUGGGGGUAACGGCCCCACUAGCCUACGACGGGUACGGGCCAUGAGAGUGGGAGCCCGGAGAUGGACCCUGAGACAAGGGUCCAGGCCCUACGGGGCGCAGCAGGCGCGAAACCUCCGCAAUGCGCGCAAGCGCGACGGGGGGACUCCGAGUGCCCUAGCUUUUGCUAGGGCUUUUCCGGAGCCUAAAAAGCUCCGGGAAUAAGGGCUGGGCAAGACGGGUGCCAGCCGCCGCGGUAAUACCCGCAGCUCGAGUGGUGGCCACUAUUAUUGGGCCUAAAACGUCCGUAGCCGGCCUGGUAAAUGCCUGGGUAAAUUGACGGGCUCAACCCGUCAAAUUCCGGGCAGACUGCCAGGCUUGGGACCGGAGGAGGGAGAGGGUACUCCAGGGGUAGGGGUGAAAUCCUGUAAUCCCUGGGGGACCACCUGUGGCGAAGGCGCUCUCCCAAGACGGGUCCGACGGUGAGGGACGAAGCCCAGGGGCGCAAACCGGAUUAGAUACCCGGGUAGUCCUGGGUGUAAACGCUGCCCGCUUGAUGUUGGGCAAGCUUCGGGCUUGCCCAGUGUCGGAGCGAAGGCGUUAAGCGGGCUGCCUGGGGAGUACGGCCGCAAGGCUGAAACUUAAAGGAAUUGGCGGGGGAGCGCUGCAACGGGUGGAGCGUGCGGUUU
rnacentral:rRNA from 1 species